rnacentral:rRNA from 1 species
CGGGAGGCAGCAGUGGGCAAUUUGGACAAUGGGCGCAAGCCUGAUCCAGCCAUGCCGCGUGAGUGAAGAAGGCCUUCGGGUUGUAAAGCUCUUUCGGCCGGGAAGAAAUCGCAUUGGUUAAUACCUGGUGUGGAUGACGGUACCGGAAUAAGAAGCACCGGCUAACUACGUGCCAGCAGCCGCGGUAAUACGUAGGGUGCGAGCGUUAAUCGGAAUGUAUCUGGGCCUAAAGCGUGCGCAGGCGGUUUUGUAAGACAGGCGUGAAAUCCCCGGGCUCAACCUGGGAACUGCGCUUGUGACUGCAAGGCUAGAGUACGGCAGAGGGGGGUGGAAUUCCACGCGUAGCAGUGAAAUGCGUAGAGAUGUGGAGGAACACCAAUGGCGAAGGCAGCCCCCUGGGUCGAUACUGACGCUCAUGCACGAAAGCGUGGGUAGCAAACAGGAUUAGAUACCCUGGUAGUCCACGCCCUAAACGAUGUCAACUAGGUGUUGGGAGGGUAAAACCUUUUAGUACCGGAGCUAACGCGUGAAGUUGACCGCCUGGGGAGUACGGGCCGCAAGGUUAAAACUCAAAGGAAUUGACGGGGACCCCGCCACAAGCGGUGGAUGAUGUGGAUUAAUUCGAUGCAACGCGAAAAACCUUACCUACCCUUGACAUGUCAGGAAGUCUUGAGAGAUUGAGAUGUGCCCGAAAGGGAACCUGAACACAGGUGCUGCAUGCUGUCGUCAGCUCGUGUCGUGAGAUGUUGGGUUAAGUCCCCGCCACGAGCGCACCCUUGUCGUUAAUUGCCAUCCUUUAGUUGGGCACUUAGCGAGACUGCCCGGUGACCAACCGAGGAAGGGGGGAUGACGUCAAGUCCUCCUGGCCCCUUAUGG